AAGCACUGUGGUGUUCUGGGUGAUAUGUUUGAUAUUUGGUUGUUAACUUCUAUCCAACCAAUAUAUCAAACAUAUGAUCCAAGGCCCCAUACACACAGCCA
rnacentral:pre_miRNA from 1 species